rnacentral:rRNA from 1 species
GCCUAAUACAUGCAAGUCGAGCGGACGAAUCGAAAGCUUGCUUUUGAUUCGUUAGCGGCGGACGGGUGAGUAACACGUGGGCAACCUGCCCUGUAGACGGGGAUAACACCGAGAAAUCGGUGCUAAUACCGGAUAACACGAAAUGUCGCAUGACGUUUCGUUGAAAGACGGCGCAAGCUGUCGCUACAGGAUGGGCCCGCGGCGCAUUAGCUAGUUGGUGAGGUAACGGCUCACCAAGGCGACGAUGCGUAGCCGACCUGAGAGGGUGAUCGGCCACACUGGGACUGAGACACGGCCCAGACUCCUACGGGAGGCAGCAGUAGGGAAUCUUCCGCAAUGGACGAAAGUCUGACGGAGCAACGCCGC